rnacentral:rRNA from 1 species
UCGGAGAGUUUGAUCCUGGCUCAGGACGAACGCUGGCGGCGUGCCUAAUACAUGCAAGUCGAGCGAAUCGACGGGAGCUUGCUCCCUAAGAUUAGCGGCGGACGGGUGAGUAACACGUGGGCAACCUGCCUAUAAGACUGGGAUAACUUCGGGAAACCGGAGCUAAUACCGGAUACGUUCUUUUCUCGCAUGAGAGAAGAUGGAAAGACGGUUUACGCUGUCACUUAUAGAUGGGCCCGCGGCGCAUUAGCUAGUUGGUGAGGUAAUGGCUCACCAAGGCGACGAUGCGUAGCCGACCUGAGAGGGUGAUCGGCCACACUGGGACUGAGACACGGCCCAGACUCCUACGGGAGGCAGCAGUAGGGAAUCUUCCGCAAUG